rnacentral:rRNA from 1 species
AUUGAACGCUGGCGGCAUGCCUUACACAUGCAAGUCGAACGGGCUUUGGGGCUUGCUCCAAAGUUAGUGGCGAACGGGUGAGUAAUAUAUCGGAACGUACCCUAGAGUGGGGGAUAACUAGUCGAAAGACUGGCUAAUACCGCAUACGAUCUAAGGAUGAAAGUGGGGGACCGCAAGGCCUCAUGCUCAUGGAGCGGCCGAUAUCUGAUUAGCUAGUUGGUAGGGUAAAGGCAUACCAAGGCGAAGAUCAGUAGCUGGUCUGAGAGGACGAUCAGCCCCACUGGGACUGAGACACGGCCCAGACUCCUACGGGAGGCAGCAGUGGGGAAUUUUGGACAAUGGGGGAAACCCUGAUCCAGCAAUGCCGCGUGAGUGAAGAAGGCCUUCGGGUUGUAAAGCUCUUUUGUCAGGGAAGAAACGGUGGGGGCUAAUAUCCUCUGCUAAUGACGGUACCUGAAGAAUAAGCACCGGCUAACUACGUGCCAGCAGCCGCGGUAA